rnacentral:rRNA from 1 species
UACGAAGGGGGCUAGCGUUGCUCGGAAUCACUGGGCGUAAAGGGCGCGUAGGCGGCCGGCCAAGUCGGGGGUGAAAGCCUGUGGCUCAACCACAGAAUGGCCCUCGAUACUGGCUGGCUCGAGACCGGAAGAGGUUGGUGGAAUUGCGAGUGUAGAGGUGAAAUUCGUAGAUAUUCGCAAGAACACCGGUGGCGAAGGCGGCCAACUGGUCCGGAUCUGACGCUGAGGCGCGAAAGCGUUGGGGAGCAAACAGG